rnacentral:sRNA from 1 species
AUGUACCACUCAUGCACUGCGGUUCCUGCGCGCCGUCCGCACCCAUCUGGCGACUGCUCGCGACGUUGCGUUAGCG